rnacentral:rRNA from 1 species
UACAGAGGUGGCAAGCGUUGUUCGGAAUUACUGGGCGUAAAGGGCGCGUAGGCGGCUUUUUAAGUCAGACGUGAAAUCCCCAGGCUUAACCUGGGAACUGCGUCUGAUACUGAAAAGCUUGAGUUCGGGAGAGGGAUGUGGAAUUCCAGGUGUAGCGGUGAAAUGCGUAGAUAUCUGGAGGAACACCGGUGGCGAAGGCGGCAUCCUGGACCGAAACUGACGCUGAGGCGCGAAAGCCAGGGGAGCAAACGGG